rnacentral:rRNA from 1 species
UCGGGAAUAUUGCGCAAUGGAGGAAACUCUGACGCAGUGACGCCGCGUAUAGGAAGAAGGUUUUCGGAUUGUAAACUAUUGUCGUUAGGGAAGAAAAAGGACAGUACCUAAGGAGGAAGCUCCGGCUAACUACGUGCCAGCAGCCGCGGUAAUACGUAGGGAGCAAGCGUUAUCCGGAUUUAUUGGGUGUAAAGGGUGCGUAGACGGGCUAACAAGUUAGUUGUGAAAUCCCUCGGCUUAACUGAGGAACUGCAACUAAAACUGUAAGUCUUGAGUGCAGGAGAGGUAAGUGGAAUUCCUAGUGUAGCGGUGAAAUGCGUAGAUAUUAGGAGGAACACCAGUGGCGAAGGCGACUUACUGGACUGUAACUGACGUUGAGGCACGAAAGUGUGGGGAGCAAACA